AACCUAUUAGCUCAACCGGCAGAGCACUAUGCAAAUGCAUAGGGGAUGUAGGUUCGAUUCCUACAUAGGUUG
rfam:Spinacia oleracea cultivar SynViroflay scaffold7310.con0009.1, whole genome shotgun sequence.